GCACAUGUUUAACCGGACCAAUAAAUAAACAGUUAAAUGGUGGCAAAGUAGCCACAUUUUUCAAGCAGUUGUGUGCUCACCAAUCAAACCUAAGCUGUUACGUUUACUCAUUCACGACACCACAAGGCCUGCUGGUUGCCAUUGUUUAUGUCUAGUCGAGCUCUUAUGUUUACUCUCACGGAACCACAAGGCGUGCUGGCUGC